UGCGUAGGCGGGCUAAUAAGUCAGUGGUGAAAUCUUUCGGCUCAACCGAGAAACUGCCAUUGAUACUGUUAGUCUUGAGUUCGGUUGAGGUAGGCGGAAUGUAUAAUGUAGCGGUGAAAUGCUUAGAUAUUACACAGAACACCAAUUGCGUAGGCAGCUUACUAGACCGACACUGACGCUGAGGCACGAAAGCGUGGGGAGCGAACAGGAUUAGAUACCCUGGUAGUCC
rnacentral:rRNA from 1 species